rnacentral:tRNA from 1 species
GGGUUGCUAACUCAACGGUAGAGUACUCGGCUUUUAAGUGCGACUAGCCGACUAGUUCCGGGUUCGAGUCCCGGGCAACCCA